rnacentral:rRNA from 1 species
GACGAACGCUGGCGGCGUGCUUAACACAUGCAAGUCGAACGGUGAAGCGCCUUCCUUUUUGGUGGGUGUGGAUGAGUGGCGAACGGGUGAGUAACACGUGAGUAACCUGCCCCCUUCUUCUGGAUAACCGCAUGAAAGUGUGGCUAAUACGGGAUAUUCUGGGUCUGUCGCAUGAUGGGUCUGGGAAAGAUAUUGUUUCGGUGGGGGAUGGGCUCGCGGCCUAUCAGCUUGUUGGUGGGGUGAUGGCCUACCAAGGCGGUGACGGGUAGCCGGCCUGAGAGGGUGGACGGGCACAAUGGGGCUGAGACCCGGCCCCGGCUCCGAAGGGAGGCAGCAGGGGGGAAUAUUGCACAAUGGGGGGAAGGCUGAUGCCGCGACGCCGCGGGGGGGAUGGAGGCCUGCGGGUUGUGAACCUCUUUCGCCAGUGAAGCAGGCCUGCCUCGUUUGUGGGUGGGUUGACGGUAGCUGGAUAAGAAGCGCCGGCUAACUACGUG